rnacentral:rRNA from 1 species
AUUGAACGCUGGCGGCAUGCUUUACACAUGCAAGUCGAACGGCAGCGCGGGCUUCGGCCUGGCGGCGAGUGGCGAACGGGUGAGUAAUACAUCGGAACGUGCCCAGUAGUGGGGGAUAGCUCGGCGAAAGCCGGAUUAAUACCGCAUACGACCUGAGGGUGAAAGCGGGGGAUCUUCGGACCUCGCGCUAUUGGAGCGGCCGAUGGCAGAUUAGCUAGUUGGUGGGGUAAAGGCCUACCAAGGCGACGAUCUGAAGCUGGUCUGAGAGGACGACCAGCCACACUGGGACUGAGACACGGCCCAGACUCCUACGGGAGGCAGCAGUGGGGAAUUUUGGACAAUGGGCGAAAGCCUGAUCCAGCAAUGCCGCGUGUGUGAUGAAGGCCUUCGGGUUGUAAAGCACUUUUGGCGGGAACGAAAAGGACUGUGCCAAUACCACGGUUCGAUGACGGUACCCGCAGAAUAAGCACCGGCUAACUACGUG